rnacentral:lncRNA from 1 species
CCAUACUCAAAAUAUACAAGCCAUUAUGCCAAGAUGGUAUACGGAUAGUGUGAGCCCGAGCUGGCUUGUCAAAACUACAAGGAAUGAAAAGGAGGGAGUAAGCAUAAAUGCUUAAUAAGUUCACAUGCAAAUAGCAAGUAACAUAACCAUAUAAGCAAACAUAAAACAUCAUUUGCAUAAUCAUCACCAAGAUAUUCAUAUCACAUUUUCAUUUAUCAUCUUACCAUAUUGUUGUUAUAUCGAUUUUUCAACCCGAGGGUUAAGUACAUACCUGUUCAAAGUAUCCAUUUCACAACACUUACCA